rnacentral:rRNA from 1 species
UACGAAGGGUGCAAGCGUUAAUCGGAAUUACUGGGCGUAAAGCGUGCGUAGGUGGUUUCUUAAGUCUGCUGUGAAAGCCCUGGGCUCAACCUGGGAAUGGCGGUGGAUACUGAGGAGCUAGAGUGCGGUAGAGGAGGGUGGAAUUCCCGGUGUAGCGGUGAAAUGCGUAGAGAUCGGGAGGAACAUCAGUGGCGAAGGCGGCCCUCUGGACCAGCACUGACGCUGAGGCACGAAAGCGUGGGGAGCGAACAGG